UUGUUGUUCAGCAGCUUUCCUGUGGUCAGUCACAGGGCUGUUGUUGUUCAGCAGCUUUCCUGUGGUCAGUCACAGGGCUGUUGUUGUUCAGCAGCUUUCCUGUGGUCAGUCACAGGGUUGUUGUUCAGCAGCUUUCCUGUGGUCAGUCACAGGGCUGUUGUUCAGCAGCUUUCCUGUGGUCAGUCACAGGGCUGUUGUUCAGCAGCUUUCCUGUGGUCAGUCACAGGGCUGUUGUUCAGCAGCUUUCCUGUGGUCAGUCACAGGGCUGUUGUUGUUCAGCAGCUUUCCUGUGGUCAGUCACAGGGCUGUUGUUGUUCAGCAGCUUUCCUGUGGUCAGUCACAGGGCUGUUGUUCAGCAGCUUUCCUGUGGUCAGUCACAGGGCUGUUGUUCAGCAGCUUUCCAGUUGGACUAAAAUUAUACUUUUUCUUUCUCACGUCUCUGUGCAGCUUUCUUCCAUUGAAAAAUCUAUAUUUUGGAUAUUUUGGAGCUGUGGAAUUGUAGUCAGAUUAAAUCUCUUUAGUGUUCAGAUUAAAUAUAUUUUGAACUGAUAUUGUAGUGGGAUUUAAAUUCUAUCACAUGCAUAUUGCUAUAUUAAAGUAGCCUUGUUGCAUCGUCGUGACUAACUGAAUCUAAUCUCUGUCUAGGACCAGACAUAGCAGGGCAUUGUACAGUAGAAGAGUUGCAAACAGACAAUGUUUAUCUCAGAGCAGGUACCAUAGAUUUACUAGGAUGGGAAUUCCCAGUCAAGUCAAUGUAACAUGAUUGGUUGACUUGUAUUUCUACGGCUGGGCCAUUUCAGUCGUUGGCUUGUCAAGAUGGAAUCUACUGGCUUUCUAAUACCUCAGCACUGGAGUUUAGUUUCAGUCAAGUCUCCUUUCUGAAGCACCUGGGACUUGGAAAGGGAACAUCCCUGUCCUUUUAACAUGAGACUGAGUCUAAAGGGUUAAAUCGGUUCAGCUUUGACCAAGAUGCCAUGCAGUCAACAGACGGCACGUUCAGUCAUUGUAGGUUCCCAGUUUCUGCAGGAGGACCCCCUGGUUCUGAUGCUGCUGUAUCUACAGGCUUUCCUGGUUUGUAAUUUCAGUAGCCUGGCCCCAGAUCUGUGUGUUGUCUGGUCCAACUUGACAAACAGCACAAUAGCCUGGUCCCAGGUCUGUGUGUUGUCUGGUCCAACUUGACAAACAGCACAAUAGCCUGGUCCCAGGUCUGUGUGUUGUCUGGUCCAACUUGACAAACAGCACAAUAGCCUGGUCCCAGGUCUGUGUGUUGUCUGGUCCAACUUGACAAACAGCACAAAAGCCAGGUCCCAGGUCUGUGUGUUGUCUGGUCCAACUUGACAAACUGUUCUCCAUCUCUCCUUAACUGAUACCUCCACAUGAUGGAGAGAGGGGGGCAUUCGGUUCAAUUUACCCAAUGGUUAAGGGCUCACUGGGUCAUUUACCCAAUGGUUAAGGGCUCACUGGGUCAUUUACCCAAUGGUUAAGGGCUCACUGGGUCAUUUACCCAAUGGUUAAGGGCUCACUGGGUCAUUUACCCAAUGGUUAAGGGCUCACUGGGUCAUUUACCCAAUGGUUAAGGGCUCACAAUGUAAUUGUACUUCUGUGUGAUCAUUUGGUUGGAGAAGUCAGUGAGGCACUUUACUGCAGACACUGUGGGCCUUCAGGAACUGGGUCUGCUUGGAUACCUUGGUUGUGUUCCAGACCAGUGAACAUUUAUAUGGGACGUAAUGUUCCUUGGGCUCCAAAUAGGCUUCUUUCUAUUCCUUAUGUCUUGUUUUUGUUUAGUUAAUAUACAGAAAUUGGUUUUAUUUCUGGAAGCAAAAAGACACAUGGAUUUAUUAGGUGCCUUGUCAUCUUAUACUUUAUACUGGAAAAAUGUGAUUUGCAUUUUUUUUUUUUUAUACAAACGAAACGUAUGUAAUUCAAACACGAUGCAAACGUUCACCAAGAACUUAUUUGGCAUUGGAGAUACUUGCCGACAAUGUGAAAAUGUAACCAAUCUCUUGUAAUGAGAAUGAUGGUGGUUUUGGGCCCCAGGUCAGGGUUGUGUUCAUUAGGCAUCACACAAGAAAACUAACUGAAACUGGGUUCAAUCACUGAAACGGUUUCCAGCUGCAAAAUAUUUAAACCGUGAUCGGAUCUGUGCCCUAAUAAACACUACCCAGGUUCCCCUACUGGCCCGAUCACCCUGUCAUUGAACUAAACCUCAGAUAUCACCAGCUUACAUUGUCUUUCUUUCUUGUAAAGUCAUAAGGAUGUAAUUCAGAGCACAGCCCCUGAAGUUUUAAACGUGAAUGUUAAGAUGGGUCCAAGCCACGGUUUGGGGGGGGGGGAUACUGCAUCUUAACCUCCAAGUCUAAAUCAAGUUCAAUACUUUACUGUGAUGUGGUCCAGUUGGAUGUAGCCUGAGUCCAUCUGCUUGGGCUAUUAUGCCAACUCAUUGUCAUGCUAAAUGUUUGGCUUGACUGACAGCAAUGAAGUAGGCAAAAAGCACAAACAGACUGGCACUCGGGCUAUUGUGGAUGCCCGCCAGUUAAACUCAGGUUACGUAAAGACAUCUACCUCUGCAGGUGAGAACUGUGAAAGCAGAGCUAGUUAAUGUUCAGAAAGCUUUGGGCCCACAUUCCCCUUUAAGAUUGUGAAAUGUUCUUAUAGUCCAGUCUCUCGCUUUUCAAUAAACUAUUUUGUAGUAUUUCAAA